AUGAUCAGGUGGGCUGUGGGGUUGCCCCAUGCCACCUCCAUCAUCUCCUCGUUACCCGCAUGGGUAAUUGGCGGCCCGGUGACAGACAGCCUCAUUAACAGCUUAAUUUCGGCUCGGUCUCUUCCUGCCCAACCCCAGCCUCAGGGGGGCUGCUCGAUGGGGGGAUGUCACCGCUGCACCCCACAGCACCGCAACACAGGGGCAUGGGGACGGUGCCACCCUAAUGCCCCAUGCCAAUGGGCCCUCCCAGCCUCUCCCCACGUUUGUUUGCUCCCUAACGGCAGCGCUGCGGCUCCUUUGUGCCCACAGAUAAGAGCGGCCGCGGCCGCCUCUGAAGCACCGCUGCCACCUCGAGCCGGGCAGGCUUUGGGGAGAGGGCAGGGAUUUAGGGUGCAGGCAGGGAUCUGGGGUUGCCCAACCACCAGGUGCCUUGCCACCCGCUGUGCCUCUCUGCUUUGCUUCUGGGGACCACUGAGCACCCCAGCAGGUGCACAGUAUGCGCUCCCCAUCCCCAUCAGCCCCUCACUCCACAGCCACAUCCCCGUCUCCAUCCCCAUCCCCCCCCACUGGAGAUUGUUGGAGGCCGUGUUGGCCCCCCAGCGCCGCCACACCGGAUGGAGGCCUGGCCGCUGUUCAAAGCCGCACUCAUGUUGUAUAAUUUAUCGGUGGGAGAUAACAGCCCCAUGGCUGAACCCCCCCCACACACAGCCCAACACUGCAGGCUCUGGGACUCUCAACAUGGGGGGAGGCCACAUGGACGGACCCGCAGCGGGCCCCACUGUGUGCUGGGGUGUUUUGGGGUGCACCAAGGCAGGGGAAGAGCUGUGCCCCCCCACAAGUCUGCCCCCACCAUCCCAGCGCACUGGGGGCUGCAGAGAACCUGGGGUCGGUCUGGGGGGGUCCCUGCAGCCUGGAGACCCAGGGCGGGGGGGGAGGGCGGGUGCUGCGGGCACGGAGCGGCACCAGGAGCCUGAACGGUUGGUUCGGUUCCAGAUAAGGAGGAGACAGCGAGCACCUGGCAGGUGCCACGGGGGGGGCACCGAGCAGCUGCCACCCCCAGCCUGGACCCCUCGUCCCCAGCGGUGCGGGGGCAGCCGCCUGUGUCCCUCUGUCCCUCCACGUCAUUCCACCCUUCUGCGUCCCUCUGCACCUCCGCAUCCCUCUGCCCACCCACGUGGCACAGCACGGCCACAGCGAGCCUUCCGUGUCACCCAUUGGGGGGGGGCGGGGGCGACACUGAGGGAAGGUGGCACUGUGAGAGGGUGGCACUGGUGGGGUGGGGGGGGGUGUGCUUCCCGGUGCCCGGUGUGCUGCUGCCCUCACCCUCCCCGGGCGCUGCUCCCACGGCCCGCUCAGAGCUGCGUCCCGCUGGGGAGGCGCCGACCGGGACCGCGUUCCUCACCGCCGUGCUCGGCCCACGCGGUGCGAUCCGCGGCCGCGCAGCGCCCCCUGCCGCCCCGCACCGCAGUGCACCCUCCAACCUGCAGGGGGCGCUGCUGGCGGCACUAG
rnacentral:lncRNA from 1 species